AACGAACGCUGGCGGCAGGCCUAACACAUGCAAGUCGAGCGGGGACUUCGGUUCUAGCGGCGGACGGGUGAGUAACGCGUGGGAAUGUGCCCUUCUCUACGGAAUAGCCCUGGGAAACUGGGAGUAAUACCGUAUACGCCCUAUUGGGGAAAGAUUUAUCGGAGAAGGAUCAGCCCGCGUUGGAUUAGGUAGUUGGUGGGGUAAUGGCCUACCAAGCCGACGAUCCAUAGCUGGUUUGAGAGGAUGAUCAGCCACACUGGGACUGAGACACGACCCAGACUCCUACGGGAGGCAGCAGUGGGGAAUCUUAGACAAUGGGGGCAACCCUGAUCUAGCCAUGCCGCGUGAGUGAUGAAGGCCUUAGGGUUGUAAAGCUCUUUCAGCUGGGAAGAUAAUGACGGUACCAGCAGAAGAAGCCCCGGCUAACUCCGUG
rnacentral:rRNA from 1 species